rnacentral:tRNA from 1 species
GAUCGCGUAGCUCAGUUGGUAGAGCAACUGACUUUUAAUCAGUAGGUCCAGGGUUCGAAUCACUGCGCGAUCACCA